CCUGACUAGUCACACUAUCGUCAUUCGAAGAAGAGCUUGAUCCCUCGCUCCAAGAAACAAUAGAAGAUUAAUUGGCAGAACUAAAUCUAUCAAAGAACCUAAAUAUAUUUAAACAAGUUAACUAGCAGACUUAAAUAUAUCUAUAUUAAAAACCUAAAAAUAUUUAAACAAAUUAACUAUAUCUACAGAAGAACCUAAAAUAUAUCUACCGGACAGACAUAAAUAUAUCUACCGGAGAACCUAAAAUAUAUUUAAACUAAUUAAUUGACAGACCUAAAAUAUAUCCAAAUCUACCGAACAACCUAAAAAUAUUUAAACUACUUAAGUGAGUCACCUAAAUAUAUCCAAAUCUACCGAAGCAUACGAGAACGAUUGUUGAAUUUACCCUUGAAGCGUGCGAAGAAACGACGAACGACCACCACCACCUUUACCCAUAAAAUGAGACUGUAGGCUGGUGAAGAUGGGUAGGAUCUAUUGAUUUCAUGGAUUGGAUAGGAAAAACGGGUGGAGAAUGGAGGAGAUCGGAGGAGGGCAAAAUGGAGAAACAAAAACGAGAGAGAGAAGAGAAACCA
rnacentral:lncRNA from 1 species